rnacentral:rRNA from 1 species
UACGUAGGGUGCAAGCGUUAAUCGGAAUUACUGGGCGUAAAGCGUGCGCAGGCGGUUUUGUAAGUCAGAUGUGAAAUCCCCGGGCUUAACCUGGGAACUGCGUUUGAAACUACAAGGCUAGAGUGUGGCAGAGGGGGGUGGAAUUCCGACGGUGUAGCAGUGAAAUGCGUAGAGAUGUGGAGGAACACCGAUGGCGAAGGCAGCCCCCUGGGUUAACACUGACGCUCAGGCACGAAAGCGUGGGGAGCAAACAGG